rnacentral:lncRNA from 1 species
CCGCAACUAUAGCUUGGCUGCGGGCAGGGCCAGCCUCACAGGUUGCUGAGUUCCAGUAGGGUCUGGUCCCAGCAGCUGCUCUUUGCUGGGUGUCAUUCCUGUCACUGUGAGGACACUGGCAAACCAAAGAGAUUGGUCCUUGUCUUUGGGACUCCUAGAGUUGAGGACAGAUAAUGCAUAGGAAGAAUCAGGUUUCUUACUUCCUGGUCACAAAAUGGCUGCCGAAGUCCAUAAGCUAAAUCCUAAUGUGAGUGAACAUGAUCAAGAAGUUCACAAUUUUAAGGAUUCAUGACUACAACCCCAAAAUACGGCACUUCUGCCUGUGUGGAAACAACAGAAGCAGGAAGAUUACUCUCAUUUUUCUCUGGCCUUUUUCCCUUGAAGCAGACUAUAAAGAAGAAUCUGACCUUCCUCUGAAGGAAACCUUCAUUCCAGACAUACCCUCCCUAUAUCCAAAGAACAUCUUUAUCUUUAAAGACACAGAGAUGUCAAGAAGAAUCUGAACAAACAGGCUUUGCCAGAUCCCCCAGUUUACUAAUAUUGAACCAUACUCUUUUGUUCUUCAAUCAUACUUCUGCAUGAUGUCCAUAAAAAUACACAGUUUUCCCCAUUCCUUUUGGGUAUUUAUUCCCGAAAGCUUCUGUGUCAUGUAAAACUUACAUUAAAUAAAUUUGUAUGCUUUUCCUUG